rnacentral:rRNA from 1 species
AACGAACGCUGGCGGCAGGCCUAACACAUGCAAGUCGAACGCUCCGCAAGGGGAGUGGCGCACGGGUGAGUAACACGUGGGAACCUACCUUCUGGUACGGAACAACCAAGGGAAACUUUGGCUAAGACCGUAUACGACCUCCGGGUGAAAGAUUGAUCGCCGGAAGAGGGGCCCGCGUCCGAUUAGGUAGUUGGUGAGGUAACGGCUCACCAAGCCUUCGAUCGGUAGCUGGUCUGAGAGGAUGACCAGCCACACUGGGACUGAGACACGGCCCCAGACUCUUACGGGAGGCAGCAGUGGGGAAUCUUGCGCAAUGGGCGAAAGCCUGACGCAGCGACGCCGCGUGAGGGAUGACGGCCUC